rnacentral:rRNA from 1 species
GACGAACGCUGGCGGCGCGCCUAACACAUGCAAGUCGAACGAGCGAGAGAGAGCUUGCUUUCUCAAGCGAGUGGCGAACGGGUGAGUAACGCGUGAGGAACCUGCCUCAAAGAGGGGGACAACAGUUGGAAACGACUGCUAAUACCGCAUAAUGUGUUUUGGGGGCAUCCCCGAAAUACCAAAGAUUUAUCGCUGAAAGAUGGGCUCGCGUCUGAUUAGCUAGUUGGUGAGAUAACAGCCCACCAAGGCGACGAUCAGUAGCCGGACUGAGAGGUUGGCCGGCCACAUUGGGACUGAGACACGGCCCAG